GACUAACCACACGAACGUUAUUCGGGAUUACUGGGCUUAAAGGGUGCGUAGGCUGUGCAGAAAGUUAGGUGUGAAAUCCCCCGGCUCAACCGGGGAAUUGCGCUUAAAACUACUGUGCUAGAGGAAGACAGAGGUGAGCGGAACUUCGGGUGGAGCGGUGAAAUGCGUUGAUAUCCGAAGGAACACCGGUGGCGAAAGCGGCUCACUGGGUCUUUUCUGACGCUGAUGCACGAAAGCUAGGGGAGCAAACGGG
rnacentral:rRNA from 1 species